rnacentral:miRNA from 1 species
AAACUAUAUGUGUUGCUUAGA